rnacentral:rRNA from 1 species
AUACGAAGGGUGCUAGCGUUGUUCGGAAUUACUGGGCGUAAAGAGCAUGUAGGCGGAUAGAUUAGUCAGAGGUGAAAGCCCCGAGCUCAACUCGGGAACUGCCUUUGAUACUGUUUAUCUAGAGACCGAGAGAGGUGAGUGGAAUUCUCAGUGUAGAGGUGAAAUUCGUAGAUAUUGGGAAGAACACCAGUGGCGAAGGCGGCUCACUGGCUCGGAACUGACGCUGAGAUGCGAAAGCGUGGGGAGCGAACAGGAUUAGAUACCCUAGUAGUCC